rnacentral:rRNA from 1 species
UGGGGAAUAUUGGACAAUGGGCGAAAGCCUGAUCCAGCCAUGCCGCGUGUGUGAAGAAGGCCUUUUGGUUGUAAAGCACUUUAAGCGAGGAGGAGGCUACUUAGAUUAAUACUCUAGGAUAGUGGACGUUACUCGCAGAAUAAGCACCGGCUAACUCUGUGCCAGCAGCCGCGGUAAUACAGAGGGUGCGAGCGUUAAUCGGAUUUACUGGGCGUAAAGCGUGCGUAGGCGGCUUUUAAGUCGGAUGUGAAAUCCCUGAGCUUAACUUAGGAAUUGCAUUCGAUACUGGGAAGCUAGAGUAUGGGAGAGGAUGGUAGAAUUCCAGGUGUAGCGGUGAAAUGCGUAGAGAUCUGGAGGAAUACCGAUGGCGAAGGCAGCCAUCUGGCCUAAUACUGACGCUGAGGUACGAAAGCAUGGGGAGCAAACAGGAUUAGAUACCCCUGUAGUCCCUGAGCGGGCUGGCAAGGCGCAU